AGGAGGAACAGCCCCAGUGGCGGGGCAGCUCUGGAAACCUGGAUUCAGCCCCGCAGUCACCCCGGAGCUCUCCGUCUGCAGGGCCUGGAGGCUCCGGGCGGGG
rnacentral:pre_miRNA from 1 species